UAAUACGAAGGGUGCUAGCGUUGUUCGGAAUCAUUGGGCGUAAAGCGUAUGUAGGCGGUUUGGUAAGUCGGUUGUGAAAUCCCCAGGCUCAACUUGGGAAUUGCAAUCGAAACUGCCUUGCUUGAAUUUGGUGGGGGAUAGUGGAAUUCUUAGUGUAGGGGUGAAAUCCGUAGAUAUUAAGAGGAACACCGGAGGCGAAAGCGACUAUCUACACCAACAUUGACGCUGAGAUACGAAAGCGUGGGGAGCAAACAGG
rnacentral:rRNA from 1 species